rnacentral:lncRNA from 1 species
AUUUUGUUCUCAACCUAAUUUGGGCCAAAAUGCAAUUACCACAACUUUUGGGCUAUAUUGCAAAAACAUAAACUUUUGGGGUCACUUUAUAAAAACACAAAAGUCCACUACUUCAUGUAAUCACAACUAGAACCCAAAAAUUUCAACAAAUUGAAAAACAUCAUUAAAGGAACAAAACAAUUUGUCCUUUAGCGUUUUUGGACCUAAACGUAAAAACGUAAACUUUUGGGCCAAAGUGCAAAUACACAAAAGUAUCAAAACUUUAUGUAAUUGCAAUAAAAGCCCCAAAAAGUACCCUAUUUUAAUAGGGUGGCCGGUUUUAGAUAGAAGGGAGUGAUGUGUGUGUUGAUUUGAAGUUUUAGACAUAAAGCAUGCAAGUGGUGCAUGACAUAAAUGUCAUGCAAGUGGUGUGUGUGAAAGGGAAUUAAUCCUUACACACCCACCAAUAUUUCUUACACCUUUCUAAAUAAAUAUCUAACACAUUUAAACAUAUGAAAAACAUAAAACAUAAACUUU